CAGGACCCAGCAGCUGUUUUCUUCUGCAGCUGUGGAGAACUCGAAUAAUACUUGAUAGUGUUAAAGGUACAAAAUAUUAAAAAAAACCCCAAGCAUUGUCUUUGCUUCCAGUAAGAGAAAGUUAUUUAUGCAAGAGCUGCCAAAAGAUGAAACUCAUGUUGUAACACUGCGUUUUUCCAAGCAAGCCCAUCCCAGCAGCUGGGGAGGGGCUUGCUACUCAUUUUCCUACACUAGGAAAUACUUCCAUGUAGGGAGAAUUUAUCCUGAGACACAAAGACAUCAUUGAAGAAGGGCAUCCUGGACCCUCUGUGCUUCUCCUGGCCCCAGAAUUAAGGCCUCAGCCCCAUUGCUUCAAUGAGCCUAGAUGGGUUUUACUGCUGGGAUCAGCUGCCAGAACUCUGGAGAAGUUGGAGGUUGACACUUGGAAUGGUGAUGCCUCAAAAACAAAAUGUGGAAAGAGACUACUUGCUGGAAGAAAACACAGUUCCUUGAAACAGUGCACACAAGACCACCUGAGCUUCUCCCAAGGACCCAGAAAGCUGGUCUUGUGACCAGCUGCCUUAAAUCUGUGGUGUCUCUGUGGUGUCCUAUGGGAACAAGCAGCUGAGAACCCGGCAUCUUAGUCUUGUUAUCAGAAGCAUACAGAUGGCUGCUAAACAGAGCUUCCUGCGUAUUUAACUUUGAUACUGUAAUGGCUGAGCAUGAAUUUCAUAUGAAAAGCAAACUUUCUAUACAUCACUAGUGUACAGCUUGAGAGACAACAGCAGUGGAGAUGGCCCAGCGUGACUGCCCUGACUCCUGCGGGAGCUGCGCCUGUUCUGUACCAGAUGUUCUCUGCAGGGGAUUCUUGGAAGCUUUCUACAACACAGUCACAAAUGUACUGACUGUCAGAGCCUUCCCAGCUCCCAUGGGGCCCGUGUUUUCCCAAGAAAGGUAUUUGUCAGGACUUCUUGAUAACAGCUACUUAAUAUUUUCAUGUUAUUAUCAGACUGUUCUUCCUUGUUUUAUCCUCACUCAUAUUUAUCCUCCUUUGUUAUCUAUACCCUGCAACUACUUCCAGGUGGGAAUCAUAACUCCACUUGACUCUUUCAGGGGGCUGUGCAUGCUGGAGCAACUUCUCUGAUGCCUGUGGUGUCCUUACUCCUCCUUUCUUCAUUUUUGUUUACUCUUCAUUCUCCUUCUACAUGAGUUCAAAAUACAGAACGGUUUAUCCGCUUCUGUCCUCAAAAUGCCUAGAACUGAAUGGAGCCUUGUGGAUGGGGAUGCAAUAGUGUUAAGAUCCUCUCAGAUUUAUUAUAAUAUAGCUUCUUGUACUAUUUCUGUACAGGCAGCUUUAGUUCAAAACUGCCUCCUUUGCUGACCAUAUUUCAUUCCAAUGUAAUUGUUGACUUGUUUUCCCUUUGCUCUUGUCCGAGACUGGUGCUUACCAGGUCAUCUAGCUUAAGGUUUGUGUUGGACUUUCCCUGAUGCCUCCAUCUGUGUGUUCCUCAUCCCAGCUGUCUGUAGGUGACCUGGCCGUGUGCUGACAUUUUCAGGACUGACUGUGCUGCACCAUUGCAGUGGCCCCCUGUUAGUGAAGUUCAGUGUCCUCGGGCUGGAGUAAUACACUUGCUUGGAGACCAGGGUUAUAACUAAUUCAUUAGUUCACAAUGAUGCACUUACAAAGUGCCUAGCAUGGACAGACCUUGGUCCCAGUGAAUGUUUCUGGUAAAACUGCAGUUGCUAAAGCCUCAUCUAAUACAACUUCUUGUUUUCCACAUGGUUGUCCUUCUGUUAUUUUUCUUCCCUUACUUUCAGACCUGCAGCCAGUUCCCUGCUGCAGACAGGUGCAAGAUUGCUAUGCCCAUGCCAGCAGCUGUCUGGACGAUACAGAUUUGAGCUGGCUUGAGUCCAGAUAGCUCUUGUGAGAUGAACAAAUGUGUUUGCUUCUCCCUGUGCCAAAGUGGUGUUUUGAUCAAGCAAUGGGAGUUUGUGCCUCAGGUCACUGCUGGGACAGAAGCCUCUGUAUGACUGAGGAAUUGACCUUGCCUUCCUCUGCCUAUGGCCUAUUUGCCCCUCUACAGCCCCUGUAAACCUGCCUAGGUCAUACUUCCAAGAGAUGUGUUCCAGCAGCCCUCAGUGGUGGGGGUUUUAAUGAUCCUGGGAUUUCUAUCUGUUGCUCCUUUUGGUGUCCUGUCCAGAGGUGAGGGGAAUUAAACCACAGGUUUUUCUCCUAAUAGCACAAGACAUAGAUUCUCCCACUGAUGUUAUUCCUGCUUACCUACUGUCACCCAUGAUUACAGGGUCAGUGUGGUGAGAGUCUGGAGCUCCCACACUUGGAUGUGUUUUUCCCCAAGUUCUCUUCCUUCCUGGAAGGUUGUGCAGCCACUGCCUCCCAGAGAGAGCAAGGUCUCUUGUAAGGGACCAAGUUCAGCUUGCUCAGUGCUUUAUAAAUUAUUUGUGCCUUGAGUGGGUGCUCUUCUUCAUCAUCAUAACAGGCUCAGAACUGCUGCAAGUGCUCCUUGGCCAGCUGCUAGACCCUCCCUGUCUGGCACAGACCACAGGCCAAAGCCCAGGGUACAGCUGUGGCAAGCAGCUUUCUGAGCUUCACCACGUUCCUUCUCUGUGUUCUCCAUGUUCUUGAAGGUAUCCUUCCUUCCUGUGGACUUUUUCUGUGCUGACCACUGUCCUGACCAGGGUCUCAGGGUACCAAAAUCAUUCUUCCUUCCCAGUGCCCCCCUGUCUAAAGUCCUACUCCUCACAGGGUAGUGUAGUUCAUCUAUUUCUGUCCUAUCCCUUGUCUGCUCUGACAUCUGGCAGUCUGUUGUAUGUUGAGUAUGUGCUGGUGAUUGCUAUGCUCAGCCACUUCAUUUACAGCCUCAGGAAUGUGAGAGGCCCCCAGAAAAAUGCCAGAGGCAAGAAUGCGUUUGAAAAUUCCUGAAGGCUUUGAUAGAGAAGGUAUUCUUUUCACCCAGCAGGAACAGCAACACCAAAAUUCUCACCAUAGUUAUUCUAAACUCCAAGGAGAGGAGCAACAUAAAAUGUGAGAGUACAUGUUAAAGAUUUGCAUCACGGUGGUGUGGUGAUGCUGAAACAGACUGUUGGCUGGAAUAACCUGCCCACCCUAUGGAGCAUUACAUAAAUGCUUUCAAAAAUAGACUUGUUGUUCCUCAGAUCUCCAAGCUGAGGCCCUGGAUCUUACUGUCUGAGUGAGAUCUGACUCAGAGAGAAUGAGAUUCACUAAUGAGUACUUACAGCUGCAACCACAACUAAUGACAGCUGCAUUUUAAAGUUCAAGAUAAAAUGUGAAGUACUCUGAAAAAUCAAGUAUUGAAGACCUAAAGGUGGAUUGAGAACAUUCAAAUACAAAAGACCUUCAAUUGGACACCCAGUAAUGAGUUGCAAGAAAAAAACUCCAAAGAUGGCACGAAAGAAAACACUUCCAAGGCUGAGAUUUGACAGCAUAACAGAAGAAGACAAUUGCACCUGACCAUCUUGAAACCCCUGUGGACACCUAGAAAGUUCAGCAACAGAAAGAAGCAAGAGGAGAUGAGUGUUUGCAGGUCUGUCUUGCAGUCACGGCAAUGAGAAGAAACUAAGUGGCAUUCACACCUCAGCAAUUUUUUGCUAUAGGGUAGAAAACAUGCUGACAUUCAUUUGCACAUAGUCCUAGAAGAUGUAGCUGGCCAAAAGAUUUCAGCCUGAAGGAAACCCUGUGCAACACUUUUGGGAGAAAGUCAUCACUCAGGAAAAAACUGCUUCUCAGAUGAUAUCACAGUCAGUCUUUAUUGCCUAUUGUUCAGAG